rnacentral:rRNA from 1 species
UACCUGGUUGAUCCUGCCAGUAGUCAUAUGCUUGUCUCAAAGACUAAGCCAUGCAUGUCUUAGUAUAAGCAAUUAUACAGCGAAACUGCGAAUGGCUCAUUAAAACAGUUAUAGUUUAUUUGGUGAUCAAAUUACAUGGAUAACCGUGGUAAUUCUAGAGCUAAUACAUGCGUAAAGGGCCGUUAGGCUCGUAUUUAUUAGAUAACAGACCUCUAUAGUGGUGACUCAUAGUAACUGAUCGAAUCGCACGGGCUUGCCCGCGAUAAAUCAUUCAAGUUUCUGCCCCAUCAGCUGUAGAUGGUAGUGUAUUGGACUACCAUGGCUUUCACGGGUAACGGAGGAUUAGGGUUCGAUUCCGGAGAGGGAGCCUGAGAAACGGCUACCACAUCUAAGGAAGGCAGCAGGCGCGUAAAUUACCCAAUACUGAUUCAGUGAGGUAGUGACAAGAAAUAACGGGCCGGUUUCAAAACCGGGACUGGAAUGAAUGGAAUCUAACGACCUCUAGGAGGAACAAUUGGAGGGCAAGUCUGGUGCCAGCAGCCGCGGUAAUUCCAGCUCCAAUAGCGUAUAUUAAAGUUGUUGCAGUUAAAAAGCUCGUAGUUGGAUUUCUGGUAGAGUUAGCUGCGGAUAGAUGCUAUCUUUGAAACAGCGCUUUACCAUCCUUCUGUCAACCUUUACAGAAUUGAUUUUCUGUUUUGGGGCUCAGAUAUUUUACCUUGAGAAAAUUAGAGUGUUUCAAGCAGGCUAUUGCCGGAAUACAUUAGCAUGGAAUAAUGGAAAAGGACUUCAACCUCUUCUGUUGGUCUGAGAGGUCGUAGUAAUGAUUAAUAGGGAUAGUUGGGGGCAUUAGUACUAAACUGUCAGAGGCGAAAUUCUCCGAUUUGUUUAAGACUAACUUAUGCGAAAGCAUUUGCCAAGGAUGUUUUCAUUAAUCAAGAACGAAAGUUAGGGGAUCAAAGACGAUCAGAUACCGUCCUAGUCUUAACCAUAAACUAUGCCGACUCGGGAUCGGAGGCUCGCAAAAUCGGUCUUCGGCACCGUAUGAGAAAUCAAAGUCUUUGGGUUCUGGGGGGAGUAUGGUCGCAAGGCUGAAACUUAAAGGAAUUGACGGAAGGGCACCACCAGGCGUGGAGCUUGCGGCUCAAUUUGAUUCAACACGGGAAAACUCACCAGGUCCAGACAUGGUAAGGAUUGACAGAUUGAUAGCUCUUUCUUGAUUCUGUGGGUGGUGGUGCAUGGCCGUUCUUAGUUGGUGGAGUGAUUUGUCUGGUUAAUUCCGUUAACGAACGAGACCCCAGCCUGCUAAAUAGCGCGCGUGAGCUUUGCUCGCGGCGAGCUUCUUAGAGGGACUAUGAUGCGCGAUAGCACAUGGAAGUUUGGGGCAAUAACAGGUCUGUGAUGCCCUUAGAUGUUCUGGGCCGCACACGGGCUACACUGGCGCCUGCAACGAGCAUAUCAGCUGGCCCGAGAGGGUCUUGGCUAAUCUUUUGAACCGGCGCCGUGCUUGGGAUUGACCUUUGCAAUUGUUGGUCAUGCAACGAGGAAUGCCUUGUAAACGCGAGUCAUCAGCUCGCAUUGAAUACGUCCCUGCCCUUUGUACACACCGCCCGUCGCUCCUACCGAUGAAUGUUCCGAUGAAAUUUUCGGAGAGUGCCUGUGAACUUGGCUCUGCCUUGCGAACGGGAAGCUCAAAGUCACUUAAAUCUGAACAUUUCGAGGAAGGAGAAGUCGUAACAAGGUUUCCGUAGGUGAACCUGCAGAAGGAUC